UCCAGCUACAGAAAAUAGCAAGUUUCUAACAGUAAUUUCAAAUACAGGUAAUCCUUAAAGGGAACGUAGGGUCAAAAAUCAAAUUUUGAUAUGUGAAAACUGGUACCAUGCAGAUAACAAAAUCUAGCAUAGAAAAAAUAAUUGCUGCUGAUAACAAGAUUUAAUCUGUCAUUUACACUGAAAACUGAGCUGAAUGGGAGAAUCUCUUAUCAUGGCGGCUGAUGACGUGUAUGCGGCAAUUCAUUACAACUGCUGUGCCUAUAGCACUAAAUGGGUUACAGAGUAUCUAUAAUCUAAAUGUCGGGAGUUCAAGCGAAAUUUUGCACUGUGGUCAAAGGAAAAGGAAUACAUGUAUCUACCUUUUAGCAUCCCUGAUCUCCCCCCAAAACUAUGAACAUUGUGCAAUAAUUGGAUACAUAACCUUGGAAAUGAAUCUUUUGUUUUUGAACGGCAUUUUGAGAAAGAGUCUUUUAAAGAGGAUAUCAGGUUAAGAUAUUGGGAUACACACCAAAACCUAUUAAAAAGAAGAUGCAGUAACUAAAAUAUUUGAUGGCAGCAAGCCUAAGAAAAUAAGAGAAAAUAGCUCAAAAAGAUGAGGAAAAGCAGGAUACAUGUAAUACUUUCAAAAAUCAUCACAGCACUAGCACAUUUUGUAUUAUACAAUUGUUUUUAAAGAAAUUGAAAAUGUACAAGUAAACAAAUGAAGUAUAGUAUAUAUGAAGUAAGUAUAUAUAAUUAAUUAGUCAUUAUUUUUCAGCUAAUCCAUUUUCUUUUGAAAACCAAUGAAAACUCAUAUGCAGAACCUAUUGACCAACCUGGACUAUCAGCAUCUAAGGAAACAGCUCAAUGAAGGCAUAAAUAGUGACAAAAAUAUCCCACUCUCAAUCCAUAUUGAAGAAUAAAUCAACUUUGUGCAACAUAUACAGAUAGAAUUGCCCAGUCAUUGUCCAUCAUAUGUGCUAAGGAAUGUUCAAGUGAAGAAUGAAGAAGUGAAGAUAAUGAACAAUCCUGUAUAAAGAAUACAAUAUUAAAAGUUUAAGAAUUAAGAGUGUCGUUUUCAUCAAUUUAUCCCAAUGCACUAGUGUUUUCUUUUGAAGCUGCUAAUAAUUCCUCUUCAUUAUAAUCAGGCUCAUAUUGAUAUCCUUUGCAGUCAGACAUGAUCAGAUGCUUUCACUGAGAGGCAAUUGCCCGGUAUACGUCAUAAACAGAUGGGAUUGUGGGAAAUAUCUUAAAGAGCGAUAACUUUAUCUUGCAAAAUGGCAGCCUCCAGCAGAUGAUGUGUAGCUAUAUUUAAUAGCCGAUUUCUACACAACAGAUUAAAAUCAAAUGGAAAUAACCAGUGGACUUAAUUACUAAAUAUUUAGUAUUUGAAAUGUGAAAAUAUUUUUUUAUACCCUACGUUCCCUUUAAUUAGGGUCCUGCAUGAAAUAUAACAAAGCUGUAUAACUGUUUGUCCAUCAAUUAACACUUUUAUAUAGCAUAGCGCCUAAAGAAUUUCCCCCCUAUUUUUUGUUUUUAAACAAAUUCUAUGAGAGAGAGACGAACAGAUUUCCCCAGAGCUGUCAUAA